UACGGGGGGGGCAAGCGUUGUUCGGAAUUACUGGGCGUAAAGGGCUCGUAGGCGGCCAACUAAGUCGGAUGUGAAAUCCCCAGGCUUAACCUGGGAACUGCAUCCGAUACUGGAUGGCUUGAAUCCGGGAGAGGGAUGCAGAAUUCCAGGUGUAGCGGUGAAAUGCGUAGAUAUCUGGAGGAAUACCGGUGGCGAAGGCGGCAGCCUGGACCGGCAUUGACGCUGAUGAGCGAAAGCUAGGGGAGCAAGCGGG
rnacentral:rRNA from 1 species